rnacentral:lncRNA from 1 species
UACAGGCAUGAGGCACUAUACCCAGCCAGAAGAUGCUUCUUCAGUGUUGGUCUUGAAAUGAAGAUUUGGAGCAGAGCCACAGCUGGCAUGCCAAAGAUAUGAAUGUGUACAAGAAGUACCUUUGGAGUGAUACAAUACAGGAAUACGGAGUGCAUAGUAUCUUCAUGUCAUCUGGAGGCUCAGAGGCUACUAUGUAUCAUUUUCUUGGCCUCCAUCACCUUUCUAGGGUGUGUAUAGCUCCUGAGGAAGAUUGAAGUGCCCGGCUUCACUUGGUAGGUCUCUCAUCAGUUGUCUGUCUGGGUGCCAACUCAUAGCUCUCCCAGUUCACGUGGAGAUCCACAGAUAGGGGAUUUCACAGCAAACAAGGCAGGUAGUCAGUUCCUAGCGCAAAGCAUUCCUCAACUAGCUUAACUUGGUAGUU